rnacentral:rRNA from 1 species
CCUACGGUGGGCAGCAGUGGGGAAUAUUGGGCAAUGGGCGCAAGCCUGACCCAGCAACACCGCGUGAAGGAAGAAGGCUUUCGGGUUGUAAACUUCUUUUCUCAGGGACGAAGAAAGUGACGGUACCUGAGGAAUAAGCCACGGCUAACUACGUGCCAGCAGCGGCGGUCAUACGUGGGUGGCAGGCUUAACCAGGAUUUAUUGGGUGUAAGGGGGGUGUAGGCGGGAGGGCAAGUCAGAUUUGAAACCUCAGGGCUCAACCCUGAGCCUGCAUUUGAAACUGUGUUUCUUGAGUGCUGGAGAGGCAAUCGGAAUUCCGUGUGUAGCGGUGAAAUGCGUAGAUAUACGGAGGAACACCAGUGGCGAAGGCGGAUUGCUGGACAGUAACUGACGCUGAGGCGCGAAAGCGUGGGGAGCAAACAGGAUUAGAGACCCGUGUAGUC